GACGAACGCUGGCGGCGUGCUUAACACAUGCAAGUCGAACGGAAAGGCCCUGCUUUUGUGGGGUGCUCGAGUGGCGAACGGGUGAGUAACACGUGAGUAACCUGCCCUUGAUUUGGGAUAACUUCAGGAAACUGGGGCUAAUACCGGAUAGGAGCUCCUGCUGCAUGGUGGGGGUUGGAAAGUUUCGGCGGUUGGGGAUGGACUCGCGGCUUAUCAGCUUGUUGGUGGGGUAGUGGCUUACCAAGGCUUUGACGGGUAGCCGGCCUGAGAGGGUGACCGGCCACAUUGGGACUGAGAUACGGCCCAGACUCCUUCGGGAGGCAGCAGUGGGGAAUAUUGCACAAUGGGCGGAAGCCUGAUGCAGCAACGCCGCGUGCGGGAUGACGGCCUUCGGGUUGUAAACCGCUUUCGCCUGUGACGAAGCGUGAGUGACGGUAAUGGGUAAAGAAGCACCGGCUAACUACGUG
rnacentral:rRNA from 1 species